UGGGGAAUAUUGCACAAUGGGCGCAAGCCUGAUGCAGCAACGCCGCGUGAACGAUGAAGGUCUUCGGAUCGUAAAGUUCUGUUGCAGGGGAAGAUAAUGACGGUACCCUGUGAGGAAGCCCCGGCUAACUACGUGCCAGCAGCCGCGGUAAUACGAAGGGGGCUAGCGUUGUUCGGAUUUACUGGGCGUAAAGCGCACGUAGGCGGACUUUUAAGUCAGGGGUGAAAUCCCGGGGCUCAACCCCGGAACUGCCUUUGAUACUGGAAGUCUUGAGUAUGGUAGAGGUGAGUGGAAUUCCGAGUGUAGAGGUGAAAUUCGUAGAUAUUCGGAGGAACACCAGUGGCGAAGGCGGCUCACUGGACCAUUACUGACGCUGAGGUGCGAAAGCGUGGGGAGCAAACAGG
rnacentral:rRNA from 1 species